UACGGAGGGUGCAAGCGUUAUCCGGAUUUACUGGGUUUAAAGGGUGCGCAGGCGGAUAUGUAAGUCAGUGGUGAAAUCUCUGGGCUUAACCCGGAAAUUGCCAUUGAUACUAUAUAUCUUGAAUGUUGUGGAGGUAAGCGGAAUAUGUCAUGUAGCGGUGAAAUGCUUAGAUAUGACAUAGAACACCUAUUGCGAAGGCAGCUUACUACGCAGAUAUUGACGCUCAUGCACGAAAGCGUGGUGAUCAAACAGG
rnacentral:rRNA from 1 species